AUUGAACGCUGGCGGAAUGCUUUACACAUGCAAGUCGAACGGCAGCACGGACUUCGGUCUGGUGGCGAGUGGCGAACGGGUGAGUAAUGUAUCGGAACGUGCCCAGUCGUGGGGGAUAACGUAGUGAAAAUUACGCUAAUACCGCAUACGAUCUAUGGAUGAAAGCGGGGGAUCGCAAGACCUCGCGCGAUUGGAGCGGCCGAUAUCAGAUUAGGUAGUUGGUGGGGUAAAGGCCCACCAAGCCAACGAUCUGUAGCUGGUCUGAGAGGACGACUAGCCACACUGGAACUGAGACACGGUCCAGACUCCUACGGGAGGCAGCAGUGGGGAAUUUUGGACAAUGGGCGAAAGCCUGAUCCAGCCAUUCCGCGUGCAGGAUGAAGGCCCUCGGGUUGUAAACUGCUUUUGUACAGAACGAAAAGGUCUCUACUAAUACUAGGAGCUCAUGACGGUACUGUAAGAACAAGCACCGGCUAACUACGUGCCAGCCGCCGCCGUAA
rnacentral:rRNA from 1 species